GAUGAACGCUGACAGAAUGCUUAACACAUGCAAGUCAACUGUGGCGGACGGGUGAGUAACGCGUAAAGAACUUGCCUCACAGCUAGGGACAACAUUUGGAAACGAAUGCUAAUACCUGAUACUGUGAGAGAGCUUUGCGUCCCAUUAGCUAGUUGGAGAGGUAACGGCUCACCAAGGCGAUGAUGGGUAGCCGGCCUGAGAGGGUGAUCGGCCACAAGGGGACUGAGUCGCGGCCCUUACUCAUACGUGAGGCAGGAGUGGGGAAUAUUGGACAAUGGACCAAAGUCUGAUGCAGCAAUUCUGAGUGCACGAUGAAGUUUUCGGAAUGUAAAGUGCUUUCAGUAGGGAAGCGGUACCAACAGAAGAAGUGACGGCUAAAUACGUGCCAGCAGCCGCGGUAAUUC
rnacentral:rRNA from 1 species